UGGGGAAUAUUGCACAAUGGGCGAAAGCCUGAUGCGGCGACGCCGCGUGAGGGAUGACGGCCUUCGGGUUGUAAACCUCUUUCAGCAGGGACGAAGCGCAAGUGACGGUACCUGCAGAAGAAGCACCGGCUAACUACGUGCCAGCAGCCGCGGUAAUACGUAGGGUGCAAGCGUUGUCCGGAAUUACUGGGCGUAAAGAGUUCGUAGGCGGUUUGUCGCGUCGUUUGUGAAAACCAGCAGCUCAACUGCUGGCUUGCAGGCGAUACUGGCAGACUUGAGUACUGCAGGGGAGACUGGAAUUCCUGGUGUAGCGGUGAAAUGCGCAGAUAUCAGGAGGAACACCGGUGGCGAAGGCGGGUCUCUGGGCAGUAACUGACGCUGAGGAACGAAAGCGUGGGUAGCGAACAGG
rnacentral:rRNA from 1 species